GAUGAACGCUAGCUACAGGCUUAACACAUGCAAGUCGAGGGGAAACGAUAGAGAAAGCUUGCUUUUUCUAGGCGUCGACCGGCGCACGGGUGAGUAACGCGUAUCCAACCUGCCCAUCACUUGGGGAUAACCUUGCGAAAGUAAGACUAAUACCCAAUGAUAUCUCUAGAAGACAUCUGAAGGAAAUUAAAGAUUUAUCGGUGAUGGAUGGGGAUGCGUCUGAUUAGCUUGUUGGCGGGGUAACGGCCCACCAAGGCGACGAUCAGUAGGGGUUCUGAGAGGAAGGUCCCCCACAUUGGAACUGAGACACGGUCCAAACUCCUACGGGAGGCAGCAGUGAGGAAUAUUGGUCAAUGGGCGAGAGCCUGAACCAGCCAAGUAGCGUGCAGGAUGACGGCCCUAUGGGUUGUAAACUGCUUUUAUAAGGGAAUAAAGUGAGACUCGUGAGACUUUUUGCAUGUACCUUAUGAAUAAGGACCGGCUAAUUCCGUGCCAGCCGCCGCCGUAA
rnacentral:rRNA from 1 species